rnacentral:lncRNA from 1 species
AUUCUUUCCUCUGAAAGGGCCUCAUGUUGCUGUUGAUCUGACAGCUUGGAGCAAGACUGUUCCACGCAUGAAUCAUCAGGCCCUUCACCCUUCAGCAUGACACCUACUCAUCCUCCAGGAGCCAAGUUUAAGAGGCUCACCAGUAGCUCUGGCUUUGACUGAAGCAGAAGUGUGGUGUGAGGCUGCUUACUGGAGUGUUGUCUGAUCUCGACCACCUAGCCAGUGUACUCUCGGUGGGAGCCUUCCCAGCCCUGAUGUCCAUCCCAGGCUGUGCCCUAAGUUGGUGAACCAUUCUCUCGGGACCACACACCAGCUACUGCUCCGCCUUUCCAGGCAAACGUUUGGAGACCUGCACUUCAUUCAUUGUCCUGUCUUCCCACUGGUCAUUUAACCUCAGAAGUUCAGAUGACUUGGAAUGCAGAACCAGACAUGACAUGUUUAAGGCUGGCAAAGGCCACGAUUAUCUGGAGAUUCUCCUUGCAGCAGCUUCUUCACAUAUCAAGACACUACAGUGACAGACUGAGUUUAAGAUGUCCACGAAUCAGCCCACAGCAUGCACAGGGCUCCAGAGGGACAGGAAAGCGCAGUCUGAACCUUGUUUUGUUCUUUGUAUCAGACAACCCGGUCCAAAGAAAUCUAACCCAAGACACAACCUAUCCCACAGCACACAUGUCAUGUGGCUACUUCCAGGACCAAAGGGUCCAUGUGGAAACCUCACUGGCCUGGAGGAGAGCUUCCUGUGCUUAGCAAGGCUCCAUCUCAGCAGUGUGGGGUCCCCUGGCAGGUUACAGCAAAACCACUUCAAAGAGACAAAAAGCUGCUUCAACAGGACGACAGUGGACACUUUUGUGAGGAAAGGCUGACACGUGACUCUCAAAAAUGAAGUUAAAGAAUUAUGUAACUCUUGAAAGGUACAGCUAACGUGGCUUCAUGUACUGUGAUUCCCUGGAGUUCAAGUCAGACUUGAUGGUUCUAAGGCCAUGCCACAGCACAGCUCUGACCAAACUGAGAAUUCCAGGGCUGGCAGUGGGGAGGGCUCACUGCCAGAAGCCCUCAGGACCUAUUCUAGAGCAUUUCCAGUAGGAAGCUAUGGUGGGCUUUUGAUGAGAUGUGCACAGGAGCUUAGAGCUAUGUUUAUGAUCAGGCAUGCAAAGCUAAUUCUUCAUGUUUUUUGCUGUUUAAAGAGAAUUUCCUUUCAAGUUUCCAAAAUAUUGUGAAAAAAACAAAAAAAAACCCCACAGCUCACCAAAGUUGGAAAGGUCAGGUCUCACAGGAUCAUGUAAUGAACUGGGAAUGGGGUCUGUUAUGAUACAGGAGCCCACACUAUCUGGGUACUGCAGAAUUUUGGGGAGCUCCUUUGUUAGCACUAAUAGACAACCAUCAAAUUGGAUACUUAAAUAAAAAUAUGACAUCAGUAGGUACCCCA